GGCGUCGGCUGGCAGACGCUGUCCCUGUCGCUGGGGUUAGUGCUGGCGAUCCUGAAGGAGGUGACGCCGCAGGCGUGUCCGGCGCAGUGCUCCUGCUCCGGGAGCACAGUGGACUGUCACGGGCUGGCGCUGCGCAGUGUGCCCAGGAAUAUCCCCCGCAACACGGAGAGACUGGAUUUGAAUGGAAAUAACAUCACACGGAUUACCAAGACAGAUUUUGCUGGUCUUCGACACCUAAGAGUUCUUCAGCUUAUGGAGAAUAAGAUCAGCACCAUUGAAAGAGGAGCGUUCCAGGAUCUCAAAGAACUGGAGAGACUGCGUUUAAACAGAAAUCACCUUCAGCUGUUUCCUGAGUUGCUGUUUCUUGGGACUUCGAAGCUCUACAGGCUGUAAGUAGACAGAAAUAGUUAUUGUUGCUUUGGGUAGUAUCUUGUGUUUUAUUAAAUGUAUUUUUGGACCUGUUUCCUUGUGCUUUCCUGGAAUCUCUUCACCAGUAGAUUAAUGGAUUAAAAGUUUGCCUUUCUUUCUUUCUUUCUUUUCGGUUUUGGAAAUUUAUGAUUGGUUUUCCAGUGGUUCCGUUUCUUUUAUUUCGUUAGCAUUUACUGGUUCAUGGAUGUGUUAUUGCAAUUGUAUUAUUCUUUUCUGGUCCUGAUGGAGAGAUGUACCUAACUUCUUUCUGGAAACUUUUGAUUACGUUUUGAAAGGAAAGGUAGCCUUUUCAGAGGAAGUUGGCAGUGUUUUCUUAUAAAGUUGGGGUUCUUAAUGUCAGCUUUUUUGAUAUUGUUUCUGCGCUCAAGUAGGGUUUAUUAGUCUGGAAAUAUUAUUAUAAGGUAUUUAAGGAGGGCUGUAAAUUUCCUCUUAAAUGUUCCUUUCAAAGCCAGGAUUCCAAACUCUGCAAUAUGAAUGACUGUAAGGGUUUCAUAUCAAAUACGUCAUCGACUGUUAACGGAAGUACUUCUUUGGAAGGAACAUAAUGUAAGUUUUAGGCAGAAUUAGUUUUUCCUCCCUGGGAAUGCUUGUUUGCUGACCUAAUGUGCAAUAGUGAAAACACAUUUUCAAAGCUUUUAAAAUUAGAUUUUCAGCUGUAUGAAUAAUUUUGUGCAGAUGGGAGAUAAGCUACAAAGUGCUGGGAAAAUAAAUAGCAAUGAUUAUUGAUGUUCGUGGAUGUCAUGAAAACAUUAUUGAGAUAUAUAGAAUAUAUUGCUGAGCUUGGCUCCCACCUGGAGAGUGGGGAAGUCCCCUGUGGUCAUGCUUGUGGAAAAAAGCAAGGAGAUUGCUUUUCGUCUGUACUUGACUUUGUAGCCAAGCCUUUGUAGCCUGCUUGUUCCAUAUUGUUGUCAAUUAGAGAAGUAGAAAGGCUCUCUUCCCACAGCCCUCCCCUGCAUUGUAUCUCUGUUAGGAUGUGUGCUAGGUCUUCCAGACACCUUAGUUCACUGUACAGAGAAUUUUCCGGGUAGUCAAAGGUGUAGCCAGCUACACACCAGGUCUUCAUUCUAGAGUCUGUCCUGCCUGAUUCUGUUCCUCGAAGGCCUAGCAGUGUUUCUCCUCUGUUUUGCAUUCCUUGCUGGUUAAUUGGCCCAAUUUAAGUAAAUUUAAAAGAAUCAAAUAAAGAAACCUUAAGACCACCUUUUUUAACAGAAAUUCUCUAAGGACUCUUUUUACCAAGGAAACGGGAUAUAGGCUGCUAUGAAGAUUAUAUAUAUGAAUAUAAAUUGAUACUUAUUUUGUGCUUUAUCUCCAAGAAGGGCUGCAGAGAUGUUUUUAAUAAUAUUCUACUUUCUUCUUUAACUUUUUUUUUUGAUUGAGGGGAUUUUGAAGAAUUGACUUCAAAGCUAGUAUACAAUGAGUGUUGUUAAACUGUUACUUUGCUAAUAGUGUGCAUAUAAAACAAUCCAUAUUGUCUAAAAAAUUGUCCACUUUCCACGCGGUUGUGAAAAUAUAAUUUAAAUCGGAAUGACCAUUAGAGCUAGAAUUAAAAUGAUUAAGCUGAAGAGAGGAAAAUGUAGGAAGCAAUUUUAACACUAUCUCUGAGAAACUAGAAUGUCUGAUUUUCAGUCUAGAAGUACGCAGAUGAAUUUUCUUAGGGGAAUUCAGGCAGUAUAAUCUAGCGCAGAAUCCCCUAUUAGCAAAUUAUAUUCUGUUUAACAUUUUCCCCCUUUGGCAAUAUCAUAGAGUGGACCACAGUAUUUUCCCUUAUGUUUUUGUUAUGAUUUCAUAACCUUAUGAAGCUGCUGUAUGAAAGAAGACUUGAGAUCCCUAAGUGAAUUGAAGAAACAGAGCCUUAUAAAAAACUAUAAGGCAGUGUUUUCUAGUUAAUUAAAAGCACAUUGAAAAUGGGAAAAUGGGCAGCUAGAAAAUGUGUUCAUAGGGGUUCUAAUCUGCUUGUUUGUCUAAAAGGAUUUUCCUAGGAAGUAAUGGAAGAUUGGACUUGAAUGCUUUGAUUUUCCUGAAGUUACAGCUUAAUGUUUAAUACUGACUGGGAUUUGACACCUGACCUAGGCACUGGAUACACAUAGAAUCAUAGAGUUGUGAUUUUUUUUCCCCCGGUGUUAGGAACCUUACGAACCAGGAAGCUUCUUUUGAGUGGAGGCACCGUUGUUUCACCUGAAUUAGAUUUAGUGGAUUCUUACCAAUGCUCUUUCUCUUGAGAGGAAAAUUAUAAGCUACGUAUGAACAGUUUUUUUAUGAUGCUGAUCACUCAUUGAAUUAAACAACCACCACUAAGUAUCUUCAAGAAAUAAAGGAACAAAAGCUUGUAAAGCUGACUGCUUGGCUAGUCUGAUUUCCAAGAGAAAGGAUGCAAGUUCAAGUUUUCUUCAUAUGACACAGGUGCCUAGUAGCUAACCUGAAACAAAUGUUCUGACAGAUGGAAAAAUAUGCACAAAUCUACAUACAGAAAUGUCCUUUAAAAUGUUCAUUGAGAAAUGAACUUUUAUCUCACAAGAAAGAUAAGUGACAGGACAAAGGAUACAGGAUUUUGGAUAAAUAGCAGGGACAAUAUGUCAUGACAGAGAAAAUCGGACUGGCUAUUUUAUUUGCAUACUAAAUAAUCUACAGUUGCCCUGUUACAUAAUUUAGUAGAGGCACACACAUCAAAAACUCAUGAAAGAAACAAAUUUAAAAUGUAUUUUCUCUUUAUAAAUUGUUUCGUAAUGCUACUUAGUAUCUCCAUUUCUUUUGCGAACUUAUUUUAUCUUUUACCUUCCUUAAUACUAUUCUUUCCUGCUAACAUAAUCAGUGGAAAUGCUUACUUGUUUUCAUGUAUAGUUCUUACACUGAUUUUUUUUUUUAUCAUUGUUUGCUUAGAUUAAAUCUUGUCUGAUCUACUGGCCAUUAUACAGAAUUUCUUUGUGCUUUUGUAAUGAAUAAUCACCAUUUGACUCUUGGCUGAAAAUGAGAUGCCAGGUGAAGAAUCACACAUGCUUUUUUUUAAAACUCUAAAUGCAGUAUAAAAGAAAAGAGGGUACACUGUAUAUGAAUUAUGAUUCGACACGGUUGGUUGCUGCUAGCGGCCAAAUAUGCUUUUCCUUUGCUGUCUGCUCCAAUUUCUCUUUGGACGGGUUAGGAGAGAGCACUACAUGUUCAGGUCAAGAUGUUUGCUCAGAAAUAGUAGUACAGUUGCAGCUGUGUUUGUUGGAGCAGGAGACUAGUUUAAAUAGCAUUACCAUUUAUCCAGUCCAUUAACAGAACUCUGUAAAAUAAUACCAACUCUGCACAAACUACAGGACAGUGUAAUAAAAUUACAAGCACUUGUUGACAGAUGGAAAGUGUAAGUAAAGAGAAAAGUCAAGUGAAGGGCUGUAGGUUGGAGGUUAAAAGUGCCGGCACAUACUUUUCUUAACUUAUGUCCAGACUCCAACUACCUCUUUGCUUCGCCUUCAAAACCGAGGUUGCAUUUUUUAUUAUCAGUGUUAAGAGUGGAGAACAUGAUUUUCAGAGCAAUUAGGAGCUGGUUAAUUAAGAGAAGUUUCAGUGACUUUUGAAAUGGUCGAUGAUAAUCGAAACUUAUGAGUAGCAUAUACACAUCGUCCUGAAACAUGUAACUUAAAGGUGGUUUACCAGUGAGUGAUUCACACUCUUCAGCUUGGGUUUGCAGCUACUCAUCUGGCUCAUUAGAGAGGAAUUUCAUUGGUAGGAUCGUGGUUAGACAUUUGGUUAUAAAUAUUUGUUUUGCGGUUUUUAGUUUAUUUCUUUGAGUGUUAUUAUAUUUACCCAGACUUCUAACAUAAGCUUAAGUAGCCAAACUAUGUUGCAGAAACUCGUUUUUCACUUCUAUGUACUGAAACAGAACAAACAAAAAUAAAUAUGUAAGUCCUAGUGAUUCAUUUUCUUUACUUCUUUGAAUAAAACCUCUUUAUUUCUGGUUAGCAAGUGGUAUUUUUUAUUCCCCAGUGAGCUUUGGAGGCACUAAAUUAUCUAACAUUGUAAGUAGUAGUUUUACAAGAACCAAGGACUCUUUUUAUGGCCUAGUGACUCCUUACCUGAGACAAAUAGAUUCUGAGCGCUUAAUUCAAUUAGUCAGGUUACAAUUCAUUUACUGUCAGAUAGGAUCUCAGGUUCUCCAAAUUGUUUUUGAUAAUAAUUGUUGAGAUUCUUUAGGCAGGAAACUUAAUUUUUGUUCUAUUAAGGUAAAAUUAAUUUGUAAAGCAUAGCAAAUAUCAUAGUGAAGCUGUUAUUUCCUUUUUUUCAUAGAUGAAGAGCCUUAGUUUUUUAUUUUGGUUUUUAAUGCAUGCUUAUUUUAAAAAGGUUUAGAUAACUCAGAAAAAUAGAAAAGUGGGAGUAUAAAUUAUUCAUUAUCUCACCACCCAGAUAUAACCUCUAAUAUACUUGUCAGUUAUUUGUUGAUGAGUUUUCUAUAAUUAUGCAUAUAAAUGCUGGUGUACGUGUAUUACAAAAACAUUUUUUUUUAAUAUCCCCAGGGUUUAGUGUAAGGCUUGACCUUUAGAAAGCUCUCAGUAAGUGUUUGAUGUAUUGAAUUAAAUCUCCAUCAGGUUCAGAGUUUGUAACUUGAAUGAGCAAACAGUAACACAGGGAAGGCAUUAUGAAUAAUGGAGAACAAAUUAAAUUUAAAGGAUAUCUUGGCUAAUUAAAUGUUUAAUCCCCUUAGGUUUUCUAAACAUCGAAGGGUAUUGAUGGACAUAGCAAAAUCACAAUGAUCCAUUUUUCACCUAAUCAACAUAUACCUUCAUUUAAUAUGAUGCUACCGCUCCCCUGCCUCCCCCCCCCCCCCCACCCCCUCAGUUCUCUGAUGCCAAUUUAGUCUCAGGAUUCUUGUAUUCAGGGAUGAAAGCCGAAUACAACCGUGAUGCCUAUGUCAGAAGUCCUCUUGAAUUAAAUUCUGCCAGCUCUGAUUAAAGGGUGGGCUCCUAGAGGUGUCAGGUGCGUAGUUUCCUGCUUCAUUUUACUCUUGGCCUGUUUGGCCCCUGCCACAAUAAAUCCCACAGUGGUAGUGCAGGAAUUGCAGGUUACAGUUGCCACGGUUACCGCCACAUCUACAUCCUUACUCAUGGAGAAAGCUGCCAUGAUAGCUGCUGCUGAUCUCUCUUGCUGAAAAUGCCCUGCCAGAGAGCUUCGGGUGCAGAGAAUAAAAGUUCUUCAGAAGUGAUGUGUCUGUGUUAUCAUAGGAUACAUGAUUUGUGUCGUUAAUACAGAUCCCUUGCUAAGGGGAACAGAUUGACCCCUUAUCUUUAAAAACACAGAUCCAGUAAGAGAGAUAACCCUUGGGAAAGUGUUAACUGUCAGUGAUUAAAACGCCAAGUCUCUUAUUAUUUAUUAAGAAACUUAUUAAUUACUUAUUAUUGCGCCCAAGGGACUCUGUUCUUGCCAUUUCACAAACAGAGAUCUAUGAGGAGUUUUUAAUUUUAGGAGUUGACUGUCACAUAACCAAAGGUUUGUUUUUAAGUAAGCAGACAAAAGACUUGAUACACUGAUAUCUGGACACAUUGCACAGUGUCCAUAGCCACUUGCCAUGGAGGAAGAGAAAAAAAAAGACAAGCCAUUGGCAGGAUUUAUUUUUGAUUUUGUUUAUAAAUCAACAUGCAGUACUAUGAUUUUAUAAAAGUAAUGAAGAUUAAGAUUGUACUUGAAAUUUUUGCCAGGCCUCCUGUGGAUAGUUUUUACCUUCAAGGGAUCACUAAUAGAAACCUUGUUGCUGGAGGAAGUCAGAAGCUGGCAGGUUUCUGCUGUAGCCAGUCUGCCAAGUAGACUCUCUGAGUGUGAAAUCCACAGCAUAGUUCCUGGCAUAGGAAAGUCAAGUGUAGGAAGGCCUUUCCCACUCAAGUGCACUUGUUCUAAUGGUUGCUUCCCAAAUGUAAACGUUUCUAUCUCCACCAACAAGUACUCACAGUUUGCCAACUUGAAUUUAUAAUACUGUGAUAGAUGCUGGGGAGAAGAGCUGCCAUGGUAUGUGGCCUCACAGAGUAUGUGGCAUUUGUGGACCUUGGCCAUUGCUAAGUAUGCAUGUAAAUUGAAGCCUACAGAGUAUGUGGCGAGUGAUUGUGCUUUUUUGAAAGAUGAAUUUAAGUGUAUGGUUUUCAUGUCAAAAUGAUAUUAUCGAAUAGACAUGAUCAGGGAAUAUUGUAAAAUAUGACUGUCAGUCAUAAAAUUGCCACUGCCAUCUCAAGAUUAGAAUUUGGUGACUGAAGUUUAUACGAAUAUGAAUUCUAGGAAUAAGUACCCAUGGGGUGUUAGUUCUAUUUAAUUAAUUUUAAUAUAUUUAUUUUAUGUUUUAAGACACGGAAAUCAAUUAAAUUAUUAUCGCGAGGGGCGGUAUAAAAUACUAGUGUUUAAAUAUCUACUCAGAUAUUAGUGACUUUGCUGUCUUUGUAAAUCAGUGGACACCUCUGGAGCCAAGUUUUCUUAUCGGUAAAGUGGGAAUGAUAUUUACCUCUUGAGAAAUUUUCAAGUCACAACAUAGAUUUCGUGUUCAAAGGGUCAUUGUCACCUUUCAGGUUUGAUAGAAAUGAUACUUGCAGGAUUAUCAUUCUGUCAUUGCAAGAGAGGAUGAAAUAAUAAUCACACAAAUAUCCUUGCAAAUUGCCCAGAGUCAGCAAAUCUCUUGGUUUUCUUUAAUGUCUCUCUUGCAUUUAUUCUCAGUGUAGUAGCACAUACAUAAGCAUAACCACAUUAAUUUUUUAACACUGCAAAUUAACAUAAAAUGUGCAUUUGCACCAUUCCAUUUCUCCUUACUUGGCAACACAAGGUACAUUAAGGCCAGAAUGUUCUUAAUGAGGUCUCUUACCCUCUCCCAGUUAUGAUUCAUUUAAUUUUAAAAUUCUUAUAUAAAAUGAAUUAAGGGCAGAAAAAGAGACUGUGACUCAGGAACUAUUCAUGUUAGUCUGCAUAUUAAAUGGUUGUUUUAAUGAUGUGUUGUCCUGCAUAACAAAAGGAAGGAAAAAUACAGCUUAGAAGAUGCUGAGGGAAA
ensembl:lncRNA